GCUGGGCAUGGUGGCCCAUGCCUGUAGUCCCAGCUACUCAGGAGGCUGAGGCAGGAGAAUCGCUUGAACCCGGGAGGUGGAGGUUGCAGUGAGCCGAGAUCGCGCCAUUGCACUCCACCCUGGUGACAGAGCGAGACUCUGUCUCAA
rnacentral:SRP_RNA from 1 species